rnacentral:lncRNA from 1 species
GAUCUCGCUCUGGAUCUCUGCUCAACACUUUCUCUGAAUCUAACAUGACUUCGUAAGUCAUAAACUUGACAGGUAGUGAUACCCCAAGUAAACAACAGACUUUCACCCACCGUUGUGAUGACUUCCCUGUCAAAUUUAGCCGAAUAACGUUGAUAUGGUCUUUCUUGUUCUGCAGGCGGUAGAAUUUCUAUUUCUUUGACUGAGUACUCCUUGCCAAGAUACUGUUUGGAAUCACCCGAAGCUACUAUCGCACAAAGUGCUAUUCACAAUUCAGCAUGCAGCCUUACAUGUACUGUACGUGUACGUCGUGUCUCAAAUCAUCAAUUUGAUGUAACUCAAAAAUUGUGAAGUUUCUGUGCUCUCUGCAGUUUGGUACCUUUGUUGCAUAAAGGAAGAGUCAAAAAAGCACACAGGUAGACAGCCUGAAGUCGUUAGAGAUUGGCUGAAGAUAUUGACAGGCUGAAGUUAGCAUUGGUGCUUAAGUUGACAGAGGUAGACUGGCUGAUGUCGGCUGAAGUGGAUACGCUGACAGUAGAGGUAGACAGGAUGAUGUCAGCAGAAAUAGAUGUGCUAAGGUUGGCAGAGGUGGUCACGUUGACAGUGGAGGUGUACAGGCUGACAUCAGCAGAGGUGGUCACGUUGACAGUGGAGGUGUACAGGCUGAUGUCAGCAGAGGUGGUCACGUUGACAGUUGAGGUGUACAGGCUGAUGUCAGCAGAGGUGGACAAGCUAAUGGCAGAGAAACUGAAGUGAGACUAGAUGCCAUCCAGUCUAUGCUGCUUUCCUUAGGAUGUCACAGCGAUGUGAAUGAUACCAGUCCCCACUACGCAGCUGUUUGAGAAGCUCUUCCGUCUCAGUGGAUGCCUUUCCACCCAUGUAUUCAGUGACCAGGGAAUCCCAUCCUGGACAACGCACGUAAGGAUUUGAGUAUGGUGUCUCGUCACUGAUGCUCUAACCAUUUGUGGACGUUUUGCUACCAACAUCACCGCUCCAUGGAUAGCGCUGUUCUGUUGUUUCUCCAGGAGGCCUUGAUGCAUCCCCCCUGUAGAUACCCAACCAUCCUACAUGUAUGUGUGUUACCUGUCUCAUGAUGCCAUUGAUGUUAUGCUCUGGCAUACGCCUUGCCAUUGAUACCAGUUCCUAGUGGCUACUUUUCUGCAGUGGGCCCUUCUGUGCUAGUGUUGCAUCUCGUGAAUGUAUUGUGUGGCUUCUCACUGCUUGCUGGCUAUUGAGGGACAUACAUCAUUGGCUUCCAGUAAACUAAGAACUAGGCAGUUGAUCAUCUCGGUUAUCUCAUCAAACAGCAGUUUUAGAUGCCUCACAGAUUUCACAU